rnacentral:lncRNA from 1 species
AAUAGAAUUUCGCACCAUGCUAAAUCUGAGGGUGGCAUAAUAUAAUAGAUAAAGCAGCCGCGGAGUUGCUUAUGAUUUUUUAUAGGAGUUGUGGCCGACCUGGGUUCCAUUCCUGGGGCUCCAGUGUGGCGAACGCCCCAAAAGGAGAAGGAAAAGAGAAUUGGUGAUGGAAGAACGAAAGGUUGGUCAACAAUUUGGUAAGUUUGCUUCUACACGAAAACGAUUUUGAGGAUGAGAACAGAAAGAUGCAUAAAAAAAACAAUAGCGGUAUAUCAAGAGGA